CUAGCUACUUGGAGGUGUGUAAUAAAUGGCACUGUCGCAAUUUAAGAAAGAAUCUAUAUUUUUUAGAGAUGAGAUCAGAAGAGCACAAGU